GCGAUGAACUGUAGGCCAAGCCGAUGCCCUAAGGCCGCUCUUCAUCGCUUACGGCGCCACCUCCCUGGCCAGGUGUCGUAACGCCAAAAUCUCCUCUCUCACCCCUGGUAGUCCUUUCACGUAACCGCAGUCCUUGAGGAAGCCGUUGUCUCGUCUUUCUCACCAAAAGAAACCCUAAUUUCGGAAAAGUUUGGUUCAUUCGAUUUCUCCGGGUUUAGAGAGAUGUCGGACGACGAAGCGAAGGAGGAGGAGCUCGAUCUCACUUCGCCCGACGUCGUCACCAAGUACAAGAGCGCGGCCGAUAUCGUCAGCAAGGCUCUCCAACUGGCUGUGUCUGAGUGCAAGCCCAAGGCGAAGAUCGUAGAUAUUUGUGAGAAAGGCGAUGCGUUUAUCAGAGAGCAAGCGGGAAACAUAUACAAAAAUGUGAAGAAGAAGAUAGAGAGGGGUUUGGCAUUCCCAACGUGCAUCUCUGUGAAUAACAUCGUGUGCCAUUUCUCGCCUCUGGCAGGAGAUGAGACGGUUUUGGAGGAGAAUGACAUUGUUAAAAUUGAUAUGGGAUGCCACAUAGAUGGGUUUAUUGCAGUAGUGGCGCACACUCAUGUCCUCCAGGAAGGGCCGGUGACGGGAAGGGCUGCAGAUGUAAUUGCAGCUGCUAACACUGCAGCGGAAGUAGCAUUGAGGCUUGUGAGGCCUGGGAAAAAGAAUAAGGAUGUCACAGAAGCAAUUCAAAAGGUAGCUGCUGCCUAUGAUUGCAAAAUUGUUGAAGGAGUUCUUAGUCAUCAGCUCAAACAGUUUGUGAUCGAUGGAAACAAAGUCGUUCUUAGUGUAAGCAACCCUGAGGCUAGAGUUGAUGAAGCAGAAUUUGAGGAAAAUGAAGUAUAUGCAGUUGAUAUAGUCACCAGCACAGGUGAAGGCAAGCCUAAACUCUUGGACGAGAAGCAAACUACUAUUUAUAAGAGAGCUGUGGACAAAAACUAUCACCUGAAAAUGAAGUCAUCAAGAUUCAUCUUUAGUGAAAUAAACCAGAAAUUUCCAAUCAUGCCAUUUACUGCAAGGGCUUUGGAAGAGAAACGAGCUCGGCUUGGUCUAGUAGAAUGUGUAAAUCAUGAGCUUUUGCAACCAUACCCUGUUUUGCACGAGAAACUUGGAGAUCUUGUUGCUCACAUUAAGUUCACGGUGUUGCUAAUGCCAAAUGGGUCAGACAGGAUUACCUCCCAUCCAUUGCAACAGUUGCAGCCUACAAAAACCAUUGAUAAUGAUCCUGAAAUUAAGGCAUGGCUAGCUUUGGGAACAAAGACCAAAAAGAAGGGUGGAGGAAAGAAGAAGAGAGGUAUCCCAAGUGCAUAUUUAUCCUUUUGAUCAUGCAUGGUCCUCACAAGUUUCUAUCUGCAUUACUACGCAAACUGUUGAUUUGGAAUUCCAGGGAAGAAAGGCGGAGCUGACGCAGCUGAAACUGAACCAAUGGAUGCAACAUCAAAUGGUGCCCCUGCCCAAGAAUAAGAGUUUUGGUGCUCUUUUCCAUUUGUUGCUGGUGGUUCCUGGAAACAUUCAGAUUUUCAUGCAAUUUUUGUUUGGCAAAGCACAAGCGCACAGAAAUUUUAUGGGGAAAAUAUUUAUAAUUUUAGGAGUGGUUAAAGCUUUUGCAAGAUGGUAUUAAGGCAACUAAAUUUGUUAAGUUGCUAAAGCUUUGGGCAUUUGGGUGUAUCAGGAUGGAAGAGCUGGAUAUUGAAAUACAAGAUGUAUUUUAUCCACCCAUGCAAGGAUGCUUGGAGGAGUUGAUGUGAAUUUGGUUCUAGGAAAUGCAUUAAAAUCUAAUGUUUCUAUACA